UACGGAGGGUGCGAGCGUUGUCCGGAAUCACUGGGCGUAAAGGGCGCGUAGGCGGCAGGCCAAGCGUGCGGUGAAAGUCCGGGGCUCAACCCCGGAUCUGCCGUGCGGACUGGUUUGCUAGAGCACUGUAGAGGCGAGUGGAAUUCCGGGUGUAGCGGUGGAAUGCGUAGAGAUCCGGAAGAACACAGGUGGCGAAGGCGGCCCGCUGGGCAGAGACUGACGCUGAGGCGCGACAGCGUGGGGAGCAAACAGG
rnacentral:rRNA from 1 species